GAUGAACGCUAGCGGGAGGCUUAAUACAUGCAAGUCGAGCGGUAGAGCGAUUUCGGUUGCUCGAGAGCGGCGCACGGGUGAGUAACGCGUACGCAACUUACCUCCAAGCGGGGCAUAGCCCCGGGAAACUGGGAUUAAUACCCCAUAGUUUGCACUGGCUGCAUGGUCAGUGCAAUAAAGUUGAGGCGCUUGGAGAUAGGCGUGCGUCUGAUUAGGUAGUUGGUAGGGUAACGGCCUACCAAGCCGACGAUCAGUAGGGGGCGUGAGAGCGUGGCCCCCCACACGGGUACGUGAGACACGGACCCGACCUCCUACGGGAGGGCGAGCAGUAAGGAAGUAAUUGGUACGAAUAGGACGGAAAGUAC
rnacentral:rRNA from 1 species